AUAGAGCAACAGCUUCUAUGCAGUUUAUGAAGGCCCCGGUAAUCUUCUCAGUCGCCAAACUUAGCGAAGAUUAUCGGGGUUUUGUCUU
rnacentral:antisense_RNA from 2 species